rfam:Asian citrus Psyllid, Diaphorina citri - Florida Strain, whole genome shotgun sequence.
GCCUAGUUAGCUUAGUGCUUAGUUGGUAGUGCGUCUGCCUUGUAAGCGCUAGGCCGCGGGUUCGAUUCCCGCCCGGGGCG